rnacentral:miRNA from 1 species
UUUCAAAGUCCUUGCAUACUAUUU